rnacentral:lncRNA from 1 species
UGCUCUUGACUGCUGAACUCUUUCUCCGGCCCCUGUAGCUGCUUCUCAGAUUGCAUAAAGAUCAUUGUCACCAAGCAGAGCUGAAUAGAGAGCAACACAAGGCGCAAGCUUUAAGCUGUUCCAGGCUUUGAACCGUGUCUACUCUCCACCUCUCAUCAGUGUUGCCGUUAUCCUGAGCAUGGGUCUUGCCCUUCUACCUCAAGAGCAUCGCCUGCCACCAGCUCGAAGACACGGGACAAUCUGGAGCUUCAAACCCAUGUGACAGUCUACUCUGGUCUGGACCUCUGUCCAUUCUCUCUGCUCUAACACAGAGUUCUAGAAAAUAUGCAAUUCUGUAGAGACAUGGUUACCAGAAAAUGGAGCAGCCUGGCUCAUUUAAAAGUCUUGCAGUGAUAAAAUGCUCGGACGGAAGCAACAUGGAGGAGACAGGGUUUGUUCUAGCACACAGCUCUGGUGUGGAACUGUGUGGAGAAGCCACAGGGGACUUGGAGGCAAGCCGGGAGAGAGGGAGGAGAAAGAGAUCGCCAUGAUGGGGAAGAAGGAAGAGGAGACCUAAAGGCCAGCUGACAUGUGAGAAUCAGGGAAAGUGGCCACACGGGCCACUUCCACAGCUGUGUUUGAGCAGGACUUUGGGUCCCUAACCUGCAACUCAGCACUCAGUCCAUCAUGGGCUUUGCUAGUCUCUGUGACUUCUCCAGGGCAGGAAAGUGACAGGUUUCUGCGCAAGGGAGCCCGAGGUACCUGGUUCAGGAUGGAGAGGGCACUUGAGAGGCGUCAAAAGCAAGCACAGUUAGAGGACAUCAGCGAUGUUAAAACCCCACGAGGGUCAACAGUAGCCCAGGCAAAAUAAAGGAGCCUGAAGUGGAAAAACAGAAAUGGAACAAGACGUUUGUUCUGGAGCACGUGAGAUUGUCCUUCUAAGACAUUUCCAGAAGUAUUCAAAGGAAGAUUUAAUGGGAAAUCAUUAUGCAAAAGAGUCAGUAAUAUAUUUUAGUUUCAAAAAGUACGGAGCGUGACGCCUGUCAAUUAUACCUUCUGCAAAGGUGAGUGGCGGUUGUCCUUGCUGUUCCAAAAUGCAAAGAGAAACAAACAAACAAACAAACAAGCAAACCAGCUACUCCUAUUCCGCACUCCAAACACCAAGCAGAAAUGCUUCUGGGACAAACUGAGCUUCAUUCUUUAUGAAAAUGAAAACACUUCUUUCUGUGCACUAGGAAAAUGUUCUGCCUCUGAGCUGCAAAACCAGCACCAAACUUGAAAAGUUUGUGCAUCAAAGGAAAAAGGCAACCUACAGGAUGGGGGAGAAUAUUUGCAGGACACAUGUCCUGGAAGGAAUACAUAUUUAGACUGAAUAAAAUGAGUAAGAGGAGGGAUAGGGAGUUCGUGUUCAAUGUUGAGAGCUUGGGACAGUUGAGAAAACGCUCCGGAGUGUUCUGCAGAUGAAUGAUGGUGACGACUGCAUCAGUGUGAAUGUCCUUAACGCCGUCAAAAAUUGGUUAUAAUGGCAAAUUUUAUGCUACAUAUGUUUUACUACAAUAAAAAUGCCAGGAAAAUCUAACUGCUCCAAAUCCUGAAUUUAUUAACCCAAUAAAUUAGGAGAUGGUUAUUGACCUAUAAAUGGAUUUGUCAAUUUUUAAAAUGAUUUCCUUUAAAUUGAAUUCUUUCCUAGAGCUUUAUUGUCUCUUCACAAACCAUUAAACACUUGUUAAAGUGUUCAGAGAGGGCUGAGAUGGAGGAGGAAGUGAAAACCAAACAAACAGAUGAGGGACCUUCCCCAAAUGAUGUCUGCUAACAGGCUUCUUGGGUAUUCUAUUUAUAUAGAUUUUACAAGUGUUUUAUUUGAGAGGAAAAAUCCCUAGACCUUACAUAGUACAAUGAACUUCUUAUGCCUGUCAGCUAGAUUUAUUAAUUUUUAACGAGGUGUAUUACUUUUAAAAGCUAUCUAUUUACUAUUGGGGGAGGGAGAAGGACAAAGGACAUCUUGCAGAAGUCUGGUCUCUCCUGCUAUGUGGGUUCUGGAGAUAGGAAAUCAGGCAGGUUGUCAGGCCUAGAAGCAAAGGCCUGUCUGCACUGAGCCAUCUUACUUGUCUUAUUUUGUUACUUUUGAUGACCUAUUUUAGACAUCACUAUUCUAUAGCCCUAAGUAUAACUUCAAGUAUGUAUCUUCCACAAUGACUUUAUGACCAUGAAAUCAAUUCAAGAAAUUUAACAUGUAUGCAGUUCUAUCCAGCGUACAUACAGAUUUCUCAUCCCCCCUUUUACUGUAGUUUAUAGAAAAAGCAAUUCUCUUCCAUAUCUAGAGUUUGACAAGGAAUAUGCAUUGCAUUUGGUUUCUGUGUUCUUUAAUCUCUUGUUGUACAGAACUUCAACCUUUCAUGACAGGUUGAACAAUUUUGGAUCAUACAGGCUGUCAUGGUUUGAAUAUGUUUGGCCCAGGGAGUGGUACUGUUAGGGGUGUGGUCUUCUUGGAAUAGGUGUGUCACCGUGGGCGUGGGCUUUAAGACCCUCAUCCUUAGCUUCUGGAAGUCAGUCUUCCACUAGCAACCUUCAGAUGAAGAUGUAGAACUCUCACCAUCUCCUGCACUAUACCUGCCUGGAUAUCGCCAUGUUCCUGCCUUGAUGAUUAUGGACUGAACCUCUGAACCUGUAAGCCAGCCCCAAUUAAAUUUGUCCUUAUAAGAGUUACCUUGGUCAUGGUGUCUGUUCACAGCAGUAAAACCCUAACUAAGACACAGGCCAAUUACAGAAUGUCUCUUUUUGGUGUGUGCAGUGUUAAAGUUUGAAGCACAAGCCUAAUGCUUGUUAGACAAGCACUCUACCGCUGCUCUACAUCAGCAGCUCAGUGUGCCUCUUGUCUUGAUGGGCUCAUUGUUUUUUAUGACCCAGUGCAUUGGGGUGAGCAGCUCACACAGGUACGAAGGGGUCCCUCUCAGAGCUUAACAUCAGGGAACUCAAUGUUGGUUUGUCUGUUCUAUUUCAGCUGAGCUAGUAUCUGGCAGUUCCCCACAACCCCCAUCAAGUUACCACUUUUUUCUUUGUAAUUGUAAUUUGCAAAGAAAUAUUUGCAAGAUUAAGUAAUAGACUACACAACGUGUUUUAGCUUCCACUGAGCAUUCAGCCUGAACUGUUUUAUAAAGUUAUGAAAUGAUAGAUUUCCAACUUAAUAAUUAUUUUAAAGACUUAUUUUAUUUUUAGUUCUGCAUGUAUGCCUGUGUGUGCACGUGUGUACCUAUGUAUCUGUAUGGUUAUGUGCACAUGAAUGCAGAUGUCCAAGGAGAAGAGGCCAGACACAUUGGAUCCCUGGUGCUCAAGUGGGAGGUGGCUGUCAGCUGCUGUAGGAAGGUGAUGGGAACUCAGCUUGAGUCCUUUGCAAGAACAGCAUGAGCUCUUAAACACAGAGCCACAUCUUCAGUCCCUCUCUUAUUUUUUUAAAAAUUAUUCUCUCUCUGUGUAUGUGUGUGUAUACAGAGGUCAGAGGAUCAUUUUUGUAAAAUUAGUUCUCUCUACCUUUUUUUGUGGGCUCUGGGGACUAAACUCAAGUUGUUGGGAUUUUGUGACAAGUGCUGUAUCCACUGAGCCCUCUCACAUGCCCUUAAAUGUUAUUUUAAAUAAUAGCAAAUGAGUACGUUCAAGCAUACGAGAAUAAGCAUGUCCUAUUGAUUUGAAUAUGCAAAAGUAUGCCAAUUUUUUAAAUCUCUAUUACCAAGUGGACAAGUAUUCCAUUUUAUCUCCAAAAGUAAAGAUUUCUUUUAGAUACAGUCAUGUGGAUUAUACAACUUGACUGAAGCCAUGUCUCCAAGAUACAUACCUAGAGGGUAAAGGGAAUGCUUUAAAGGAGCGUGAUUAUGAAUAUCCAAGCUGAAAAUAAACACUAAUUACUAACAAAAAGGAUUACUGAGAAAAAUAUGGGUUGGUUUUCAGUACUUGACUCUGUAAAGUUAUUUCUUUUCUUAUUUAGUUUUUAUUCAUAAUCAUAAACUUAACUUUGCCAUCCAGCUAGACUUGAAGGGGAAUGAGGAAAAUAUGGAACCCAAAGAACUUGAGCAGAGAUUACAGGGUAUUUCAAGCAGAUGGGGUAGGGAUGCUCUCCUGCGCUACAGAAGGAAUGGUUGGAUGGGUAAAAUGCCUGCAAGUCAAAAGAAAUUAGAGUUAUCCACAGUCGGAAAUGGUCUUGCUGGUCUUUCCAUUCCUGGACCCAAAACACUCCAUGGCUUCCACAAUGUUCAUGCCUUCUUUCACCUUCCCAGACACCACAUGCUUGCCAUCCAGCCACUUAGUCUUGGCAGUGCAGAUAAAAAACUGGGAACCGUUUGUGUUGGUCCAGUAUUUGCCAUGGACAAGAUGCCAGGACCUGUAUGCUUCAGGAUGAAGAUCUCAUCCUCAAAUUUCUCUCCAUAGAUGGAUCUGCCGCCAGUGCCAUUAUGGCAUGUAAAGUCACCACCCUGGCACAUGAAUCCUGGAAUAAUUCUGUGAAAGGAGGAACCCUUCUAGUAAAAUCCUUUCUCUCCAGUGCUCAGAGCAUGAAAGUUUCCCGCUGUCUUUGGAACUUUGUCUGCAAACAGCUGGAAGGAGACUCUUCAAGGGCUCGUCAUCGGCCGUGAUGUCAGAGAACACGGUGGGGUCGACUGUGGCUACAGCAAGAGGACCAACGGUACUGUUGCUCUAGCUACAGGAAUAAUCCUGGGCAGCACUUGUUGACCUUGGUCACUGUCAAGGGAAGAUCGGCUGUUCCCACUGAGGGCAUCUUGAUGGAUUAAGGUGAUCAGCUGAUCAAUGUGAGGGGACAGAUGGGAGCUAGGAACUGUCUCGGUACUGAGUCAUUUUUCAUCUAAUGUGCAAGAAACCCAAAGAGCACAUCAAACAGCGAACUACGCCUAAGCUAUCCAUGUUUCUCCUGCUUCUUCUGAGAGGGUGAUUUACACGUAGCUCAACACUCGAGUGUUGCAGUAUCGAGUGACUGCAACCAAACAAUGGAACAUGCAUCGUGCCUGUUGACAGAGCCUGCAGUUGGCUUGGAACCGGGACCAUGCUGCAUUCGACAUCGUUCCUGGUGGCUGACUUGUUCCCAUAGAAUUAAAUGCUAGGCAUCCAGAAGCUGACUGUGCAUCUGAUGGGCUCACUAACAUUCAGGAACAGGUUGGCCUCAGACUUCAUCAAUGGAAAGUGUAGGCAUAGGACAAAAAAAAGAGCACGUUUGAAAGACUACAUUUUCAUGAAAUUGGAAAUGCUACAUGCAAGCUGCAGAUGCUGAUUGCAGAGUCAGAAGACAUGGCCGUCAGUGUUAGGACUCUGCCUUAUUCUGCUAUUUCUCCUUGACGACCUACAGUUUGCAUUGUGGGUGGCAUUCAUUAACGAGGGCAGUAAAAACAUGGAGAAAACAUUGCAAGCUCUCCUUCGUGUUUCGCUCACUGGCCAAGUAGCUAACCAACUAGGUGUUCAGGCUCCCAUGUGUCUCAAUAUGAUGUGGCUCCUUCCAGUAGCAACCAUCCUGAGCAGAGACCUUUGUUCUAAUUUAAAAAUUAGACAUGAUAUAGAGCUUACCACACAUUUUUCCCCCUGAAGAUUAAAGAUCUUCAUGAAGGUACUGGCUUAAAAGACAUCAACCCCAAGCCUUUCGAAGGAUAUGCACUUGAGAUUGCCAUACUCGAUGGUGCGUCCAAUUAACUUAGAAAUACCCUUGACAUUUCUCAUCCGUGAAGAGAAGCUUUAGGUGACAGUUUUCAUGGUGUGGGUACUCUCGGUGCCUAAUUUGCUUUUUUUUCUUGUUUUCAAGCCUGAAAGGGAAAUAGCCUUGGCUUUCAGCUCUGGAGCGCGAUGCCCUCCUUACGAGUAUUCAGCUACUGUCUGAACCAUUGUACUUGCCUUCCCCUCCAUACCCCUUUUUCCCCAAAGUCCCGUUGAUAGCUCAUU